rnacentral:rRNA from 1 species
GCAUGCCGCGGUGAAUACGUUCCCGGGCCUUGUACACACCGCCCGUCACACCAUGGGAGCCGGUAAUACCCGAAGUCAGUAGUCCAACCACGUGAGGACGCUGCCGAAGGUAGGAUUGGCGACUGGGGUGAAGUCGUAACAAGGUACC